AACGAACGCUGGCGGCAGGCCUAACACAUGCAAGUCGAGCGCCCUUUCGGGGGAGCGGCGGACGGGUGAGUAACGCGUGGGAAUAUGCCCUUCUCUACGGAAUAGCCUCGGGAAACUGAGAGUAAUACCGUAUACGCCCUAUGGGGGAAAGAUUUAUCGGGGAAGGAUUAGCCCGCGUUGGAUUAGGUAGUUGGUGGGGUAAUGGCCUACCAAGCCGACGAUCCAUAGCUGGUUUGAGAGGAUGAUCAGCCACACUGGGACUGAGACACGGCCCAGACUCCUACGGGAGGCAGCAGUAGGGAAUCUUAGACAAUGGGGGCAACCCUGAUCUAGCCAUGCCGCGUGAGUGAUGAAGGCCUUAGGGUUGUAAAGCUCUUUCAGCUGGGAAGAUAAUGACGGUACCAGCAGAAGAAGCCCCGGCUAACUCCGUG
rnacentral:rRNA from 1 species